rnacentral:rRNA from 1 species
CCUACGGGGUGCAGCAGUAGGGAAUCUUCCACAAUGGGCGAGAGCCUGAUGGAGCAACGCCGCGUGGGUGAAGAAUGUCUUCGGAUCGUAAAACCCUGUUGUUAGAGAAGAAAGUGCGUGAGAGUAACCGUUCACGCUUCGACGGUAUCUAACAAGAAAGCCACGGUUCACUACGUGCCAGCAGCUGCGGGAAUACGUAGGUGGCAAGCGUUAUCCGGAUUUAUUGGGCGUAAAGGGACCGCAGGUGGUCUUUUAAGUCUGUUGUGAAAGUCUGCGGCAUAACCGGAGUAGUGCAUUGGAAACGGGGAGACUUGAGUGCAGAUGAGGUAGGUGGAACUCGAGGUGUAGCGGUGAAAUGCGUAGAUAUAUGGAAGAACACCAGUGGCGAAAGCAGCUCUCUGGUCUGUAACUGACGCUGAGGUUCGAAAGUGUGGGUAGCAAACAGGAUUAGAUACCCUGGUAGUC